rnacentral:rRNA from 1 species
GACGAACGCUGGCGGCGUGCUUAACACAUGCGAGUCGAACGGAAAGGCCCUGCUUUUGUGGGGUGCUCGAGUGGCGAACGGGUGAGUAACACGUGAGUAACCUGCCCUUGACUUUGGGAUAACUUCAGGAAACUGGGGCUAAUACCGGAUAGGAGCUCCUGCUGCAUGGUGGGGGUUGGAAAGUUUCGGCGGUUGGGGAUGGACUCGCGGCUUAUCAGCUUGUUGGUGGGGUAGUGGCUUACCAAGGCUUUGACGGGUAGCCGGCCUGAGAGGGUGACCGGCCACAUUGGGACUGAGAUACGGCCCAGACUCCUACGGGAGGCAGCAGUGGGGAAUAUUGCACAAUGGGCGGAAGCCUGAUGCAGCAACGCCGCGUGCGGGAUGACGGCCUUCGGGUUGUAAACCGCUUUCGCCUGCGACGAAGCGUGAGUGACGGUAAUGGGUAAAGAAGCACCGGCUAACUACGUG